rnacentral:lncRNA from 1 species
CGUGCUAGGUCCUAUUUUAAAGUUUGGCACAUGGCCUCGGUUGCUGGGGCGGCCUGUUAAAUCAAUCCACGCCACAUUUUCGCCGGAUACGUAUCUUUGCUUUAAAAAAAACAAAGAGAACUGAUGCACAGGACAUGAAUCAACCAUAUAAAUUAAACUCUGAACUUAACUCUUUAUAUAUGUCACAAUUCAACGUUGAUAAACCGUCACAGAUGAUAGAAUUUUAUGAUAUUUUUUUCAAACGUCACCAAUAAACCGUCAUGUAAUAAAGUCUUAUUUCGUGUAGUGAACUUAUCUUUGACUUCUCCUUCACAUUUGCUUUGUUUUAGUUUUUCACGCUACCGUGUAGCUACCACUUCAAACUAAGAAUGGACAAUACAUGAGUAGCUUUCCACAGAUCAGGAUGUAAUCACCUGGGUCAAGAUUUGCAUAGUAAUAGGAUUAGUCCACAUUCCAGGAUCGAUAGCGUGAACGUGAGAUUGU